rnacentral:rRNA from 1 species
UACGUAGGGUGCAAGCGUUGUCCGGAAUUAUUGGGCGUAAAGAGCGUGUAGGCGGCCCGACCAGUCCGCUGUGAAAGUCCAGGCUCAACCCUGGAAUGCCGGUGGAUACUGUCGGGCUAGAGUCCGGAAUGGGCGAGUGGAAUUCCUGGUGUAGCGGUGAAAUGCGCAGAUAUCAGGAGGAACACCAAUGGCGAAGGCAGCUCGCUGGGACGUGACUGACGCUGAGACGCGAAAGCGUGGGGAGCAAACAGG